CACUUUCAACAACGGAUCACUUGGUUCUGGCAUCGAUGAAGAACGCAGCGAAAUGCGAUAAGUAAUGUGAAUUGCAGAAUUCAGUGAAUCAUCGAAUCUUUGAACGCACAUUGCGCCCUCUGGUAUUCCGGGGGGCAUGCCUGUUCGAGCGUCAUUACAACCCUCAAGCUCUGCUUGGUAUUAAGCUUCACCUGAAAAGGCGGGCUCUAAAAUCAGUGGCGGUGCCAUUCGGCUUCAAGCGUAGUAAUUUUUCUCGCUUUGGAUGACCGGUUGCGUGCCUGCCAUAACCCAAAAUUUUAUCAAAGGUUGACCUCGGAUCAGGUAGGGAUACCCGCUGAACUUAAGCAUAUCAAUAAGCGGAGGCU
rnacentral:misc_RNA from 1 species